UCUUAGCUCAAUUGGUAGAGCUGCGGACUUUUAAUCCGUAGGUUCCGGGUUCGAGUCCCG
rnacentral:tRNA from 1 species